ensembl:lncRNA RAB11B-AS1 RAB11B antisense RNA 1
CUGCAGACUGGACUCACCACCAGCUCCAGUGACAGUGGGCUCAGAGGAGAUCCUCUAAGCCUGCUCAGUACAGGACACAGACAGAAUCUCGCUCUGUUGCCUGGGCUGGAGUGCAGUGGCACUGUAUCCGGAAUUGGGGGGUUCUUGGUCUCACUGACUUCAAGAAUGAAGCCAUGGACCCUUGCGAGAUGGGGGUUCCACCAUGUUGGCCCGGCUGGUCUCGAACUGCUGACCUCAAGUGACCUGCCUGUCUCGGCCUCACAAAUGGCUGGGAUUACAGGCACGAGACACCGUGCCUGGCCCUGGGAACAUGUUUACAUGGACUUUGUUCACUUUUUAAAACAAACUGAGGGUAACUUACUAGAUCUGUGAAC